CCUACGGGGGGCUGCAGUGGGGAAUUUUGCGCAAUGGGCGAAAGCCUGACGCAGCAACGCCGCGUGGGUGAUGAAGGUCUUCGGAUCGUAAAACCCUGUCGUCAGGGACGACGGUUGCAUGUCGAACAGAUGUGCAGCUUGACGGUACCUGGAGAGGAAGCCCCGGCUAACUCUGUGCCAGCAGCCGCGGUAAUACAGAGGGGGCAAGCGUUAUUCGGAAUUAUUGGGCGUGAAGGUCGAAUAGGCGUUGGUAAUCCCCGAGCUUAACUUGGGAACUGCAUCUCAGACUGGAACGCUGGAGUGCUGGAGAGGGUGGUGGAAUUCCACGUGUAGCGGUGAAAUGCGUAGAGAUGUGGAGGAACACCAGUGGCGAAGGCGGCCACCUGGACAGUAACUGACGCUGAGGCGCGAAAGUGUGGGGAGCAAACAGGAUUAGAUACCCCAGUAGUC
rnacentral:rRNA from 1 species